rnacentral:rRNA from 1 species
CACUCUAGAGAGACUGCCAGGGAUAACCUGGAGGAAGGUGGGGAUGACGUCAAAUCAUCAUGCCCCUUAUGCUUAGGGCUACACACGUGCUACAAUGGGUAGUACAGAGGGUUGCCAAGCCGUAAGGUGGAGCUAAUCCCUUAAAGCUACUCUCAGUUCGGAUUGUAGGCUGAAACUCGCCUACAUGAAGCUGGAGUUACUAGUAAUCGCAGAUCAGAAUGCUGCGGUGAAUGCGUUCCCGGGUCUUGUACACACCGCCCGUCACACCACGGGAGUUGGAGACGCCCGAAGCCGAUUAUCUAACCUUUUGGAAGAAGUCGGCGAAGGUGGAAUCAAUAACUGGGGUGAAGUCGUAACAAGGUAGCCGUAUCGGAAGGUGCGGCUGGAUCACCUCCUUUCUAAGGAGA